GACGAACGCUGGCGGCGUGCCUAAUACAUGCAAGUCGAGCGAAGUUUUUCUGGUGCUUGCACCGGAAAAACUUAGCGGCGAACGGGUGAGUAACACGUAAAGAACCUGCCUCAUAGACUGGGACAACUAUUGGAAACGAUAGCUAAUACCGGAUAACAGCAUUAACUGCAUGGUUGAUGUUUAAAAGUUGGUUUUGCUAACACUAUGAGAUGGCUUUGCGGUGCAUUAGCUAGUUGGUGGGGUAAAGGCCUACCAAGGCGACGAUGCAUAGCCGACCUGAGAGGGUGAUCGGCCACACUGGGACUGAGACACGGCCCAGACUCCUACGGGAGGCAGCAGUAGGGAAUCUUCCGCAAUGGGCGAAAGCCUGACGGAGCAACGCCGCGUGAGUGAAGAAGGAUUUCGGUUCGUAAAGCUCUGUUGUUAGGGAAGAAUGAUUGUGUAGUAACUAUACACAGCCCG
rnacentral:rRNA from 1 species